AAGAGUUUGAUCCUGGCUCAGAGUAAACGCUGGUAACGUGGUUUAAACAUGCAAGUUGAACGAUAAUUGUUAAAUUAUAGUAGCGAACGGGUGAGUAAUGUAUGAAUAACAUACCCUUAAAUAAGGAAUAGCCUAUCGAAAGAUAGAUUAAUACCUUAUAAAAUUUUUCGUAUAGUAGUACGGAAAUAUAAAAGUUUGUGAUGACGUUUAAGGAAUGGUUCAUAUCCUAUCAGUUGGUUGGUGAGGUAAAUGCUUACCAAGACUAAGACGGGUAGCCGAUCUGUGAGGAUGUUCGGCCACACUGGAACUGAGAUACGGUCCAGACAUCUACGGAUGGCAGCAGUUUCGAAUAAUUCACAAUGGGCGAAAGCCUGAUGAUGCGACGUUACGUGGAGGAAGAAGGCUUUAAGUCGUAAACUUCUGUCGUUAAGGAACAAAAAAUAAAGUAAUACUUUUUAUAUUGAGUUAACUUAAAAAGGAAGCAGUGGCUAAUUUCGUGCCAGCAGCCGCGGUAAUACGGGAACUGCAAGCGUUGCUCGGUUUUAUUGGGCGUAAAGAGUACGUAGGCUGUUAUGUAAGUUAAAAGUUAAAUUUUAAAUCUAAAGUUUAAACUUGCUUUUAAAACUACAUAUACUAGAGUUUUAAAGAGGUAAGUGGAAUUUCAAGUGUAGCGGUGAAAUGCGUAGAUAUUUGAAGGAACACCAAUGGCGAAGGCAACUUACUAGGUAAUAACUGACGCUAAAGUACGAAAGUAUAGGGAGCAAAAGGGAUUAGAUACCCCUGUAGUCUAUACUGUAAACGAUGUACAUUUGAUCUUAGGAAUAUUUGACUUUUUUUCUUAGGAUCGUAGCUAACGCGUUAAAUGUACCGCCUGAAAAGUACGGUCGCAAGACUAAAACUCAAAGGAAUUGACGGGGACCCGCACAAGCGGUGGAGCAUGUGGCUUAAUUCGAUGCUACGCGAAGAACCUUACCUGGGUUUGACAUAGAUUAGACAGAACAUGAAAAUGUUUUUUUCUGAAAAGAACUGGUCUACAGGUGCUGCAUGGCUGUCGUCAGCUCGUGUCGUGAGAUGUUCGGUUAAGUCCGGCAACGAGCGCAACCCUCGUCUUUAGUUGCUAACAAGUAAAGUUGAGUACUUUAAAGAGAUAGUUUUUUAAAAAAAAACAGAAGUUGAGGAUGACGUCAAGUCAGUAUGGCCUUUAUAUCCAGGGCUGCACACGUGCUACAAUGCUUAAAACAAUAGGAAGCGAAAUUGUGAAAUGAAGCAAAUCCAAUAAAUUUAAGCUCAGUUCGGAUUGAAGUCUGCAACUCGACUUCAUGAAGUAGGAAUCGCUAGUAAUGGUAUAUCAGCAACGGUACCGUGAAUAUGUUCCCGGGUCUUGUACACACCGCCCGUCACGUCAUGAAAGCUGGUUUUAUUUGAUGAAUGAGCUUUAAAAUAGUUUAUUUUAAAGUCGAACUAGUGAUUGGGACGAAGUCGUAACAAGGUAGCCGUAGGGGAAUCUGCGGCUGGAU
rnacentral:rRNA from 1 species